CAGUCGAGAAUUUUUCCCAAUGGGCGAAAGCCUGAAGGAGCGACGCCGCGUGGGGGAUGAAUGGCUUCGGCCCGUAAACCCCUGUCAUUUGCAAACAAGUUGAUUGAUUUAACAUGUAAAUCAUUGAUUGUAGCGAAAGAGGAAGGGACGGCUAACUCUGUGCCAGCAGCCGCGGUAAUACAGAGGUCCCAAGCGUUGUUCGGAUUUACUGGGCGUAAAGGGUGCGUAGGCGGUUUGGUAAGUCUGGCGUGAAAUCUCCGGGCCUAACCCGGAAACUGCGUUGGAUACUAUCUGACUAGAGGAAUGGAGGGGAGAUUGGAAUACUUGGUGUAGCAGUGAAAUGCGUAGAUAUCAAGUGGAACACCAGUGGCGAAGGCGAGUCUCUGGACAUUUCCUGACGCUGAGGCACGAAAGCCAGGGGAGCAAACGGGAUUAGA
rnacentral:rRNA from 1 species